UGGGGUCAAUGCAGAUUCCCCGCCGUCGUCAAGACGCCUCGCGUCCAAAUUCUGC
rnacentral:ncRNA from 1 species